GACAGAGGGUGCAAACGUUGCUCGGAAUUACUGGGCGUAAAGCGCGUGUAGGCGGGCCGAUAAGUCAGACGUGAAAUCCCUGAGCUCAACUCAGGAACUGCAUCUGAAACUGCCGGUCUAGAGUGGUGGAGAGGGAAGCGGAAUUCCUGGUGUAGAGGUGAAAUUCGUAGAUAUCAGGAGGAACACCGGUGGCGAAGGCGACUUCCUGGACACCAACUGACGCUGAUGUACGAAAGCGUGGGGAGCAAACAGG
rnacentral:rRNA from 1 species